ACAGUUUUGUGAUCAGCAGAAGACAUCACUAUAGUUAACAGGAGCAGAAAAGGCAGGAGUGGAAAAGAGAUAAGCAAUGAGGUCAUUGUAUUUGACAUUGCUUUUGUCUGUCAGCAUCAUUUCCUUGAGAGGACCCCUUUCCUCCUCCUUGCUUUGCAAGUGGAGUUGUCUGUCAUGGUGUCCCAUUUUGGCCAGGUGGGCCAGUCAGAGUGUAGCUUUCUCCUGGACUCAGUGAUUGGUCCAGAGGUGGUUAUAUGCCUCAAAAAGUACGAAUCCCUGUCCUUCCAUAGGAUUUUAUGUCUGCACGCCACAUGAGAUGGCAAGAUUCAGGUUCUUUGUGUAUUUGUUAUAAAUGGCUAUGUAACAAAUUACUGUAGAAUAUGGUGGUUUAAAUAAUAACGUUACUUAUUAUCUCUUACAGUUUCUGCAGGUCAGAACUUCAGACAGGCACAGUGGGAUGGAUUGUCCCUGUUCUAGGAUGACUGUGUUAUCAGCUGGAAGACUUCACAGCUGGGGACUAGAAUCAUCUGAAGACUCAUCCACCCACAUGUUUGGUUGUUGAUGCUGGCUGUCAGAACCCAGCUGCCAUGCUGCAUGGAGAAGACAAAUGGACAGGAAUUGAGGCACUCUGGUUGACAGUCUCACUGAGCAUCCAGCUGACCCCAGCCACCGACCAGGAUUCCUGAAGUCUCAGACCACAGCUGAUGCCCUUUCUCAGAGAAUGGUCUAUGAAUCACUCUGAGACUGGAGAGGAGGCCUGGGGAUAAGGAUGAGGGGUGCAUUCAGAGAAAGACUUUUGUGUGCAUCUUGUUUCAGUGAAAGUCACUGAAGCAG